rnacentral:rRNA from 1 species
UCGAAGCUGGGAUCCAAAUAGUAACGCCGCCCAGUGGCUGGAUUCGGCUUUUAGAUACCUUUGUAGUCCACGCUGUAANCGAUGAUANUAGGUGUGGGGGACAAAGGUCUUCGGGUGCCGUCGCAAACGCAUUAAGUAAUCCACUGGGGAGUACGUUUCGCNAAGAAUGAAACUCAAAAGGAAUUGACGGGGACCCGCACAAGCGGUGGNAGCAUGUGGUUUAAUUCGAAGCAACGCGAAGAACCUUACCUGGUCUUGACAUCNUGAUGACGAGUGAGCAAAGUCACUUUCCCUUCGGGGCAUUGGAGACAGGUGGUGCAUGGUUGUCGUCAGCUCGUGUCGUGAGAUGUUGGGUUAAGUCCCGCAACGAGCGCAACCCCUAUUUCCAGUAGNCCAGCAAGAAAGAUGGGAACUCUGGAGAGACUGCCCGGGAUAACUGGGAGGAAGGCGGGGAUGACGUCAAAUCAUCAUGCCCCUUAUGAUCAGGGCUACACACGUGCUACAAUGGCGUAAACAAAGGGAAGCGAAGUGGUGACACGAAGCAAAUCCGAAAAAUAACGUCUCAGUUCGGAUUGUAGUCUGCAACUCGACUACAUGAAGCUGGAAUCGCUAGUAAUCGCGAAUCAGAAUGUCGCGGUGAAUACGUUCCCGGGUCUUGUACACACCGCCCGUCACACCAUGGGAGUCGGAAAUGCCCGAAGUCAGUGACCCAACCGAGAGGAGGGAGCUGCCGAAGGUGGAGCCGGUAACUGGGGUGAAGUCGUAACAAGG